rnacentral:rRNA from 1 species
UACGUAGGGCGCAAGCGUUGUCCGGAAUUAUUGGGCGUAAAGAGCUCGUAGGCGGCUUGUCACGUCGGGUGUGAAAGCCCGGGGCUUAACCCCGGGUCUGCAUUCGAUACGGGCAGACUAGAGUGCGGUAGGGGAGACUGGAAUUCCUGGUGUAGCGGUGAAAUGCGCAGAUAUCAGGAGGAACACCGGUGGCGAAGGCGGGUCUCUGGGCCGUAACUGACGCUGAGGAGCGAAAGCGUGGGGAGCGAACAGG